AUUGAACGCUGGCGGCAGGCCUAACACAUGCAAGUCGAGCGAUAACGGUCUUCGGACUUAUUAAAGCGGCGGACGGGUGAGUAACGCGUGGGAAUCUACCUAGUAGUGGGGACGAACAGUUGGAAACGACUGCUAAUACCGCAUAACCUCUUCGGAGCAAGUGGGGACCCGUCGGCCUCACGCUACCAGAUGAGUCCAAGUGGG
rnacentral:rRNA from 1 species